rnacentral:lncRNA from 1 species
AGGCUAUUCCACAAGGUCUCUUGGCUCCACACUUGUUAGGUGAAAUCUGCCAGGUGUGGAUCAUUUGACCUUUGCUAUAUAGGAAGCAUGAGGAGUUGGGGGGAAUUGCCUCCCCAGGGGAGUUUGAGGCUCAGGUUAUCUGGGGUGCUUUUCUACCAGAGUGAAAUGGACUCAGUGUUCCCCAGUAGGCUGCUUUUUCUUCAUGUUUUUUACCGUCUCUGUGAAAUAGUUUUAGAGACUCUAUGAGCUAGUUACGUUGGUGGUGCCUUCUCAGGACAGUAAAACCCUGGUGGUACUACUUCACUGUGAAGUAGUUAGGAGGUGACUCAAGUUCAGAAGCUGGCAGCGAAAUUACUUGCAUGGAUUUGAAGCUUCCUUCCUAGCAGGAGAAGAAAAAAAAAAAACAAACCACAGAAGCUUAAGUGCAUACAGGCCUGCAUCUCGGCUGUACAGAAACAUUCUGAAGAGCCCGACCAACAUAAAGAGAACUAACCUUCCUCCACACCUGUACAAAGCAAUAUCUCAGCAAUUGGGGGUAAGCCCACUUCUGUGCGAGGAAGACAAGAGAGCGCAUACACAGCCUGUGCCAACCUGUGGUUGUACCCUGUGGAACUUACACACACGUGUACCUACACUCACCAUACCGACGUGA